rnacentral:rRNA from 1 species
UACGGGGGGGGCAAGCGUUGUUCGGAAUUACUGGGCGUAAAGGCUCGUAGGCGGCCAACUAAGUCAGACGUGAAAUCCCUCGGCUUAACCGGGGAACUGCGUCUGAUACUGGAUGGCUUGAGUUUGGGAGAGGGAUGCGGAAUUCCAGGUGUAGCAGUGAAAUGCGUAGAUAUCGGAGGAACACCGGUGGCGAAGGCGGGUCUCUGGGCAACAACUGACGCUGAGGAGCGAAAGCGUGGGGAGCGAACAGG